rnacentral:rRNA from 1 species
UGGGGAAUAUUGCGCAAUGGGGGAAACCCUGACGCAGCAACGCCGCGUGAAGGAUGAAGGUUUUCGGAUUGUAAACUUCUUUGAUGAGGGACGAAACAAAUGACGGUACCUCAAAAACAAGCCACGGCUAACUACGUGCCAGCAGCCGCGGUAUUACGUAGGUGGCAAGCGUUGUCCGGAUUUACUGGGCGUAAAGGGAGCGUAGGCGGACUUUUAAGUGAGAUGUGAAAUACCCGGGCUCAACCUGGGUGCUGCAUUUCAAACUGGAAGUCUAGAGUGCAGGAGAGGAGAGUGGAAUUCCUAGUGUAGCGGUGAAAUGCGUAGAGAUUAGGAAGAACACCAGUGGCGAAGGCGACUCUCUGGACUGUAACUGACGCUGAGGCUCGAAAGCGUGGGGAGCAAAC